rnacentral:rRNA from 1 species
AACGAACGCUGGCGGCAUGCCUAACACAUGCAAGUCGAACGAGACCUCCGGGUCUUUUGGCGUACGGCUGCGUAACGCGUGGGAACCUUCCCUUAGGUUCGGAAUACCUCUCCGAAUGGGGUGCUAAUACCGGAUAAUGUCUUCGGCCCAAGGAUUUAUCGCCUCUGGUUGGGCCCGCGUUGGAUUCGCUAGUUGGUAGGGUAAUAGCAUAGUAAGGCCCGGAUGCAUAGCUGGUAUGAGAGGAAGAUCAGCGACACUGGGAUUCAGACACGGCCUAGAAUCCUACGGAAGGGAGGAGUGGGGAAUAGUGGACAAUGGGGGGAGGCAUGAACCAGCAAUGACGGGUAAGUGAUGAAGGCAGUAGGGAUGAAAAGCUCAAUUACCCGGGAUGAUAAUGACAGUACCGGGUGAAUAAGCUCCGGCUAACUACGUG